CCUGGAAACAGAUGCUAAUACCGGAUAACAACACUAGACGCAUGUCUAGAGUUUAAAAGAUGGUUCUGCUAUCACUCUUGGAUGGACCUGCGGUGCAUUAGCUAGUUGGUAAGGCAACGGCUUACCAAGGCAAUGAUGCAUAGCCGAGUUGAGAGACUGAUCGGCCACAUUGGGACUGAGACACGGCCCAAACUCCUACGGGAGGCAGCAGGG
rnacentral:rRNA from 1 species